rnacentral:rRNA from 1 species
CUUUACUGCAACUUGACAUUGAUUUUUGGCUGUACUUGUGUAGGAUAGGUGGGAGGCUUUGAAGUAGUGCCGCCAGGUAUUAUGGAGCCAUCGUUGAAAUACCACCCUGGUGCUGACGGAAAUCUAACCGGAGCCAUAUAUCUGGCUUUGAGACAGUGUCUGGUGGGCAGUUUGACUGGGGCGGUCGCCUCCUAAAGUGUAACGGAGGCAUCCAAAGGUCUUCUCAGCGUGGUCGGCAAUCACGCGUCGAGUGUAAAGGCAUAAGAAGGCUUGACUGCGAGACCGACAGGUCGAGCAGGUACGAAAGUAGGGCUUAGUGAUCCCGCGGUUUAGCGUGGAAUUGCCGUUGCUCAAUGGAUAAAAGGUA